UUAGCAACAACAAAUUUUUGUUUCCAACCCGUUGCUAAAUAGAGUUGGCAACGGAUUUUUGGUGAAUAGCAACAAAUUUUAGUUGAUGCUAUAUUGAUUUUUUUUUGUAGUGUCAACUCAUACCUUGCUAAAUUUUCCACGUGUAAAAGCCUAAACUAAUUAAAAGAUCGACUCAAUCAAAAGAAUUGACGAAUAAAAUUGAAAAGUGCGUUCUCUCUCGUCUAAAUGCUCUGUUCUCUCUCCUCUGAAAAAGAAAACCCACUGAAACCUAGAACUCACCGGAGUUCCGGCGCCGCGACCGGUUCUCUGGCGAAUUCCUCUUCCAUGUUUUAAGCUUUUUCUUUUGCUCGUGUUCUAGUAUUGAAGUUGAAGCGGAACCAAGCUCCACAACGGGCUUCAAACUCCGCUUAGUGCUAACCUCUUCUCGCUGGAGAAGUUCUCAAGUGGGUUUUCUAAGUUUUCUAGUUUUAAAGUUCAAGUUUGUGAUUUGGGUACUGGAGGAUAAAAAGACGUUUUUUCAAUUUGGUUUAAGGUUUCGUUGACGAAACAAGAUUCAACAGCUAGCUCUAACGUCACCGACUAUGUGUGAUUGGAAAGAUCAAAUUAGUAAAGGAUUUGUUUGUUAGUCGUCCUCAAAUGCAUUCUCCAAGUUUAAAGGAAAGUGGAAUACAUAAAUAGAAUAGUGUGUUUCUCAUCGCAUGCUCAAAGGAAAAUGACAAAUUAUUCAAACCAGCAAGAUCAAAUGUAGAUGUUCUUUAUUUUAAUAUUAUUAUGGUUGUAAUAGAGGAAGUUGUAAGGCUCUUAGUUUGUAAUACUAUUAUUUUAAUUUAAAUCGUUGUAAAAAAUUAUAUUUUAUAAAUUAAAAAAAAAAAAUGCCACGGGUAAAAGCUCAAAUUGCCUAAGUUAUGAGGUAGCUUACUCUGGCUCUCUUGUACUGGGCCACGUGGUUGUAUGCUACGACUGUCGAGUGUAUUAUUCCUGAAAUAAUAGAUAAGGCCCACGUGCGUAGCCUUGAUCA